AAAAAGAUAAGUUAAACAGCUCUUUGAUCUGUUUUUGUAUUCUUAAUGGUAGUUAAUAAAAUAAAUAUAGAUUUAUUAUACUACUUUUUCUGAUGUAUGUCGCAUAUAGUCCCAAGUUUAAAACAGCUGUGAAUAACAAUGAAAAGUGAUAUAAUACACUAAUGUUUUGGACUUAAAACAGGUUCAACACCCAGACUGUCUUUAAACAAUAGUGUCAGAGACAAAAAAAAAAACAACCUGAAAUUACACAAAGGACAAAAAGGAACAGGAACUAACACAUACAGGCACUGUGGUGAUCACAUAAUAUUGGAGUUGGAAAGUACAUUUACGCUUAUAAAGGGAGUUUGCUGAGAUGAUACAAGCAGCAGCAUACUUCAAGAUUUCUUCCUGUCCACUCUUCUUCAGCAAAUUAGCUUUUGUGAACAAGCUUAUCUCUUCUUCCAAUUUUUUUUCUGACGAAUUGGAAAAACCCAUUGCAUAAUUUGGCAAACAAGAAUGUAAUCUUACAAUAAAAACUGUUUAUGCUAAAAUCAUGAUGCAUGUUGCCUUUGUUGUCACCGUAGAAACUGGCAACAAGAUUCAGCUGCAAGUUAGGCUUGACAUAAGAAAAUAUAUUUGCAUAUUUAGCGACUUGAUGAGUGAUGAUAAGUACUCCACUUUAUGUAGCAUUUUAAUUAGGGUAUGGGAAACACAUUGAAACUACGCCUGAAACUGUGUGAAACUGCUUUAACAAAAGUGCAUUCUCUCUCUAUAUUGACUGUUCAAGUCUUCAGCACAUCAUAAAUUAUGUUCAGUUUUGGAGACACAUCAAACAACACACCCAUCUCAUUGCAUUUUCUUAUCAUUCCGUCUUCUGUCCUUCUCAUGUCACAGAAGACACAGGAACUUAAAUCCCCCAUUUUCCCUUGCCUUUGCUUCUAACCCUUUAAAGCUGUGAUUUUUGACUUAGCUUGAAAAGUUUUGCCACAAACUCAGCUCUUUAUCAUCCCCCUGCAGGUUGUGUGUACUGUAUACUACAUAAUGGCUGUUGUGAUACGCUUGCACUUGACAAAACUGAAGCGUCACAGAAGAGCUGCAGCUUCAGGCUAUCUGGCUCAUACAUGAAGUUGCGACAUGCGUCAUGAAUUACUCAGCAUGAGUGGAUGGUGAAAAGCUGAGUGUGAAUGCUACAUCGGAGGAAAUCCAGCUGACUGCAUCAAGCGCUGCCUUUACAGCAAUUUCUCUUUCUGGACAAACAUGCUGUGUGUUUCAUCUAUAAAAAACGACCGUAAAUAAUGGCCACAAUAGUUGGCCACCCUCCAGGAAGGUGCCACCUUUAAAGAGAAAAAACAGGCCAAGUGAAACUUCUUUGAACAGACAAAAUAAACAGAGCAAAAACAAACAAUCAAAGUUAAUGGACUUGAUAGAUGUAGAUGAUGCAUAAAAGGUGUGAGGCUUAGAAAUAGAAGAACCUUCUCUAAACCCGAGAAAUGUCUCCUGAUGAUCACAAUUAUCAUGUCAUUGUGACUUCUAGUGUUAUAACAAUAAAUGUCACAAAACACUGUAAUAAAAUUUUAAGUCUUUAUUACUCAUCCUUGGCAAUAAAAAUGACAUGCAGUUUCUAUCUGCAGAUGGAAACCAGACUACCCACUCACACAGAGGGAAAAACAUGAACUUUAUGCAGAAAGUUCCUGGUUGAGAGGUGAACCCAGAAACUUGCUGUUGUGAAACAAUAGUGCCAGCAGCUGCAAAGCUCCCAUAUCAGUCCUCAGCACAUUAUUCCAAAAGAAGCAUCCUUUAUAAUCUUUAACCAUGCAUCCCCUUCUAGAGAUAUUAGUGACUGGCUAAUUAGUGACUAAGUGAGAAUCACAUACCAAGAUUGUGAUAAACCUUUCUUUCUUAUAAGUCUUAAUUUUUAAAUAUAUAAAUCUGUCCCUUUAAAUUGAUUUCUAAGUCAUCAUGUUGGAAUGGUUUAUUUUUAGUGAUUUUGUUCUGACUCAUCCAUUCAAAAUCUAAUAAAUAUAGGUUUGGUGAGCUCUUAAGAUCUCUAUAGCUAUAAGGAAUUCAUGAGAACACCAGACGCUGAAUAUUCCAAUUUAAAAGGUAUGGCUUUUACCCUGCCAAUGCUUAUUAAGGACCAGAUGAGUAACAUCCAGUCUAAUAGCCCAAGUUCUAGUAUUUGCACAUUCACAUGAUCUUAGAAUCACAAAGAAUAAAUUGUGUUUUAUAAAAAGAAAUUAGUAAAACUUAUAAAACUUAAAUUUUAUUAGUGUUACAUAAACAAUAAAAUGUAGACUC